AGCCUAUGAGUUGGGCAUUGAAAUAGGAGUUUCUUGAACCUCAACCAUGUUUCAUGGAUGGGUUCACCCUUUAAUCGCUUAAAACCAUGAAUGUUAUCCCUGAGUUU